rnacentral:tRNA from 1 species
GCGUCGGUGGUAUAACGGUUAGCAUAGCUGCCUUCCAAGCAGUUGACCCGGGUUCGACUCCCGGCAGAUGCA